GGCAGCUGCGCUGCCUACAGAGACCAGUUGGUUUUUGGCUGGCGCGCAAGGCGCGGUGUGUGUUAGAUUUCGGCAUUAAAGCCUUCAUCCGGGUUUGCGUUUGUUCCGCUGUCGAUGGAGGAUGCGCGCCUAGCCAGCGCCAUCUGAUAUGGUAGCAGCUCACGGAGACGUUCGUGUGUUGCACAGCGGGCUUGCCCCGCUCACGGGCCACCUCUGAGUUGUGGAUCAGAUCGCGUGAUCGCGCCCUGUGCCACCCCCGGGUACCGAGCUCACCCGCUCCUCCGGAUUUCCCGUCAGUCGCCGGAGUUGUGCCGUCACUCCCGCAGAACGCGGAGGAAACUGCCUCUCCCAGAAGGGGAUGGAGAUGUCGCCAAGCCAGAAGUGCAGCGAUGGACGGACAAACCCACAGCCACACCGUACCGAUGUCGGAUGCCGACGGUGGACGCAACCCGGACCAGCAGGAAACCUGCGGACCUUCACCACCACCAACAGCCAUGCCAACCCCGAUCCCCACGGCCGGAUCGACCACCAUCACCACGCCGAGAAAUUCACCCCACCAAAACCCUGCCCGCCUUACCUGGGACAGCGACCUUUCCCCUGGCGGAGCAGUGGAAUUGCCCCACCGGAGCAGCGUAAUUUUGUGUUUGCAGGGUCAAGGCCGUACCUGUGCCCCAAACCCCAGCGCGAUUUUCCCCAGACGGUGACCUUUCUCCAGACGGGAUAAAAUGCGGAAUCUACCGAUUUCCGCAUCCGACCCUGGAUUCUGUCGCGACAGUGCGUUGACCUAGGCACUGGACCGCGUGAAGCCGAACCAGACCGACCGAACCCGAGCCAAACCGACCGAGAACCACUCCUAAACCGAACCUGAUCCGAGCCGACCAAACCUGGACCGAGCCGGACCAAACCUGACUGAACCAGAUCCCAUACCGGACCACGUGAGCCGACCGAACUGGAACCGAGCCACCCGAAGUCGCUGAAUGUGAACGGCAAGAGACGGCCGGUGCCGGCACCAGAGAAGACGGCCAUCAACGCCUUGUUCGACGCGCGGCGCAACCAGUCGUGGCUGUGCGUGGAACACGACCGCCAGCUGAUCGGCCGGAGCGUAAACGUGUACUGGAAGGACGGCGACAAGGAGCGCUGGUACACCGGUUGUUUAAAGGACUUCAACAACACGGACGGCACCGUCGUCGUCAUGGACGACAAAAGACAGGAUCGGAAAGUGGAUCCGCGUCUGCAGGAGAUUUAGAUCAUCAAGGAUCUAGGGCGGGCCAGCACGAGCAGCAUCUCGUUCUCCGCGACACCGGCGGCGGAAGCAGCGGGGCGUCACCCGAGUCCGCGCGCCCCCAAGCCGGAGGCCAGUGCACGCAAGCAUCCGCCGCUGCCGGCCAAACCGGCGCCCGCCGAAUGCGGUCUGGAAGCGCCCAUGGAGAGCGUGCUGGAGAGCGAAGAGACGGAUAAAUCAGACCGCCGUUCCACCCAGAUUGAAUCCGGGCUUUAAGCUACGCGCCACGCUGCCUGUGCAUGCUGGCGACGUGCUGGCUUUAUGUACAGCCCUCCUCGGGCGUCCAGACGACACAGCGUUUGUGUCAAGCGGACCGGUCAAUACUGCCUGCGAGUGUUCGGAAAACAGUUUGAAUACACAAUGUUUAAUGUAUUGGGUCCUGCGGAGGACGCGAUAUUGUGCAUUUCGGGGCUUCCUCCGUCCCCCACGUACGUUCACGGGCGCCUCUUCGUAGGGACCCACGAUAUAAACGUGUACGUCUUCGAUCUAGUGGACGACAAUCCUAUGCAGGCAAAAUACGCGCUGAGGGGACAUGCUAAUGCAGAAUAUUUCGUCACAGUUGGCGAGGACGUGUCGCUGCGGGUGUGGCAUACGGAGGACCCGGAGGCGCUGCAAACCAUCCCUCUUCCGGCUGCCUCUAAAUGGGCGGUGACGAUUCUCACCAACGGCAAUAUCGUUGACGGUGGAUAGCGGGGAUUUGUUCACAUUUUUACCCAGAACUCCAACCGUUACGCCAACGCCGACCUGGUAGCAGCGUACGGGGGCGACCUCGCGGAAGCUGCCUUGGCCUUCGAUGACAAGCCGCGGUACGGCUGUUACGGUAGAACAGGCGCUACCGGAAAAUCCGGCAGAACAGGCACUGCUGAAUUUUCCGGCAAAACAGGCACUGCUGGCGCCUGGCGACAACCACGAAGAAAGCAAAAUAAUCCGUCGCGGCGCGGCUUUAGAAGUCCAUGUAUGGAACGCCAUUCAGCAGCAGUGGCAGAAAGUCGGGGAUGUCACCGAAACAGCCGGAGAAAAGGUCAACAAGCCAAGAAAGACCAUUAAUAAAGGCCGUGAGUUUGAUUUUGUCUUUUCCCUAAAGUCGGGUAACGAUAAGAGACAGUUGAAACUACCGUGCAACGUAACGGAUGAUCCUGUGACGGUUAGCGCAGAAAUUGCUGGAUGAUAUCGAACUGCCAGCCACCGGCCUAGGCAAAAUGGUUUCCUGCAUCCGGAAACACCCUCGACGAGCAGAGGCCGCUGCGAGCACUCCCGGCAAGCGAGAUCUGGAUGGCCUUGGAUUCUUCCUGGACACCGAUGAGCGGAACUAUAGUUUUGCCAGUUUUAACGAUGGCGACGUGGACGAACUGUUGGGGAGCUAAAGAAGGCCUGCCAGACACUGGGCAUUCUGUGGGAAGAAGACUCUGUCGCCUUUUUAGCUCCGUACCUGGAUACAGCGGUGUCCCCCGAUCCGUUUUCCGACAAGUUGGUGGUCUUGCUCUACACAGUCUUGGCGGAGUUUCCUCAAGAUGAACUCAACCACUCACUCGACGCGGUGCGUCUCGCAGUCCGCCAGCCGGCUUUUUGUGAAUAUUUAACCGCUGGGAAGGGCGGCGAAGUAUUCCUGGAGCAGCUGGUGUAAGCCAUCCAGCCAGUGAACCCGCGGCUAGUGGAGCUGUCGCUCAAGGUCAUCGGCAAUGUUUUCGUGGGUGGCGAAUCCGGCAUAGCGUUUGCUCUCAAGAACCGGGUGGCUUUGCUGCAAUCCAUGUCCGGGGCGAUGGCAAGCGAACACCCGUGGGACCAUGGAACACGGCUGGAUGUUUUGCAGAACUCCGCCAUUCUCUUCUUUGAGCAGCAGUGGGCGGUGCAGCUGAUGCCCCUGC